rnacentral:rRNA from 1 species
AAACUUUCAACAACGGAUCUCUUGGCUCUGGCAUCGAUGAAGAACGCAGCGAAAUGCGAUACGUAAUGUGAAUUGCAGAAUCCAGUGAAUCAUUGAAUCUUUGAACGCACAUUGCGCCCGCUAGUAUUCUGGCGGGCAUGCCUGUUCGAGCGUCAUUU